rnacentral:rRNA from 1 species
AACGAACGCUGGCGGCAUGCCUAACACAUGCAAGUCGAACGAAGGCUUCGGCCUUAGUGGCGCACGGGUGCGUAACGCGUGGGAAUCUGCCCCUCGGUUCGGAAUAACAGUUAGAAAUAGACUGCUAAUACCGGAUGAUGACGAAAGUCCAAAGAUUUAUCGCCGAGGGAUGAGCCCGCGUAGGAUUAGCUUGUUGGUGGGGUAAUGGCCCACCAAGGCGACGAUCCUUAGCUGGUCUGAGAGGAUGAUCAGCCACACUGGGACUGAGACACGGCCCAGACUCCUACGGGAGGGCAGCAGUGGGGGAAUAUUGGACAAUGGGCGGAAAGACCUGAUCCAGCAAUAGCCGCGUGAGUGAUGAAGGCC